rnacentral:lncRNA from 1 species
UGCACAAGAACUUUUUCAAGAGGAAAUUGAGCCUGUGGAAAUACAUCAGUCUGGUGGUGGGCCUCAACCAGAAGAGCCAGCAGUUCAAGGUCAGAAUAUUCCACCUGGUCAGGAGGUGGAGGAAGAAGGAGCACCCGAGGCUGAAGGGCCCCAUGUGGCAUCUGAUGUCCAGGAACAUUUUCAGCCUGACCCUGGUGAUAUAUAUGAAAAUGGUCCUGAAAUCAAUGGGACAGAACCUCCUAACUAGAGCACUACAAUGCCAAAAGCAGGUGAAGGACAUGCAGACGUUCAAAUGGAGACAACCAGAACCCUGCCAGCUGUUCUUGUAUCAGUUGUUUGACUUCCAGUUCCCUCAAUAAACUUUAUAGUUCCCUGUGGAGAAAGCUUGGGUGUCUUCUCACUUUUUUCCUAGGCUUCUGAUAUUGUUGAAAAUUGCAUCACUUCUGAAAUGUUGUAUUCUGACUAAUUGCAUAUAUAGAGAUGAUGUUUGUAUAUUCCUUUUUUAUCCAUCAACCAUGAAAAAUUUAUUCCAAAUGUAUUUCUACACCUUUUUUGAUUUCAACAUACAGAAUCACGUCUUUGAAUCAUAACAAUUUGUCUUUGCCAUUCUACACAUUAUAUGCUUCCUGGUUCCGUUUUUACAACAUUAGGCAGCCUCAACCUGUACAGUGGUGAAUAGAGCCAGAGAAGUUGGUCAUUCUUGUCUUAAUCUGACAGGAAAUGGAAUUUGAUUUAGCACUUCGCUGUGUUUGUUUACAGAUUUACCUUACCUGAAGCAGCACAUCCCAUUCUUUUUUAAUUCACUAUUUUUGUUCCUUUCAUAUGUGAAAUUUUUUGAAUUUUUAUUUUUUAAGAUUUAUUUAUUUGUUUGAAAGAGUUAGAGAGAGAGAGAGAGGGCCUCCAUCCACUGGUUCAGUCCCCAAAGGGCCCCAACAGAUGAGGAUGGGCCAGCCUGAAGCCAGGAGCCAAGAGCUUCUUCCAGUCUCCCACAUGGGUGCAAGGGCUCAAGGACUUCGGGCAUCUUCCACUGCUUUUCCAGGCACGUUAGCAGGGGCUGGAUUGGAAGUGGAGCAGUCAGUACUCCAACUAGCACCCAUAUGGGAUGCUGCAUAUGGUUUAUGCUGCUGGCCCCACACAUGAGAAAUUUAAAGGCAGAUUUUUGGGGCUGAAUAAUUGCACCCGAGGGCAUCAAGACGUUAAAAAGGAACUUUCUUUCAUGUGUCCAAGUAAGUGGGCUUUUUUCAGCCUCUCCUUGGAUUCUCUCACUUAAGGUUGAAGCCCAGGUGGACAGGCCCCCUUCCCUGGUCCCGCGUGUGCCUUGCUGUGUGAACAUGGGCUUCUCAGGAUGUGCGCAGCAUC